GUGUGUCUAUCACUUUUUAAAACAUAAUAAUUUUACCAUAUUUUUUUAUUGUGUCCAUAAUCCUGAAGGAAUUGUAAUUGUGUAGUUUCUUUUAUAUAUUCUGCUACUAUAACAUAAAAUACUCAAGGAGUUGUAAUCCUCAAGCAAGUUUUUUUGAAAAAAUCGUAUCUAUUGAGAUAUUUUGAGAGUAUACUUGCUUUUCAAGUUAAAAGAAAUUACGACUACUUAGAUUUUAUGAUUAUAGUUGCUUUUCAAGAAAUAAAUAUUCUUUAAUGUUGGUUAUCCAAAACAGAAUAGUGGUCGAGAUUUUAGUGGUUAAGUACAUUCUAUAAGUUGCAGAUUACAAUUCUAUUUAUUGGAAUAUAAUUAAUGAUGGUUAUUCAGAACAGAAUUUUAGGAAUAUUGUUAGGCAUAAUAAUAAUACGAUUAGAGAUUAUAUGUAACAUGACUUUAUAAGAAUAGAUCUAUUAGAUCCAUUU
rnacentral:lncRNA from 1 species